rnacentral:hammerhead_ribozyme from 1 species
GUGCGUCUGACGAGUCCCAAAUAGGACUAAACGCGCGUCUCGGAU